GGAUGCCAGUUAAAUUGGAAUUUCAGAUAAACCAUGAACAAUGUUUGAGUGUAAGUAUGUCCCAUGCAAUAUUUGGGACAUACUUACACUAAAACAUUAUUGCAUGGGACAUACUUCUACUCAAA
rnacentral:miRNA from 1 species